rnacentral:rRNA from 1 species
GAUGAACGCUGGCGGCGUGCCUAAUACAUGCAAGUCGAGCGAAUGGAUUAAGAGCUUGCUCUUAUGAAGUUAGCGGCGGACGGGUGAGUAACACGUGGGUAACCUGCCCAUAAGACUGGGAUAACUCCGGGAAACCGGGGAUAAUACCGGAUAACAUUUUGAACCGCAUGGUUCGAAAUUGAAAGGCGGCGUCGGCUGUCAGUUAUGGAUGGACCCGCGUCGCAUUAGCUAGUUGGUGAGGUAACGGCUCACAAAGGAAACGAUGCGUAGCCGACCUGAGAGGGUGAUCGGCCACACUGGGACUGAGACACGGCCCAGACUCCUACGGGAGGCAGCAGUAGGGAAUCUUCCGCAAUGGACGAAAGUCUGACGGAGCAACGCCGCGUGAGUGAUGAAGGCUUUCGGGUCGUAAAACUCUGUUGUUAGGGAAGAACAAGUGCUAGUUGAAUAAGCUGGCACCUUGACGGUACCUAACCAGAAAGCCACGGCUAACUACGUGCCAGCCGCCGCCGUAA